AUGGCAGCCAAACUGCAAGAAGAGAUGAGUAAGCGCGAUAUAAACAAGCUGGUGAGGUUAAUGGACGAACCAUCCAGUGAUGGACCACGGGAAAGCUCUUCAGAAGUUGGUUUGCUUUGUGCAGAGCCUCACCAGGGGUUGAUGGAAGCAUGCCGCAGGAUACUGCAUGACAUGAGAUCUGCUCAAAGUAAUAACGACAUAACAAAUACACUUUCUUGUUUGAAGAGUGCACAGGAGAUAGCAUCGAAGAUGAUUAAAGGGUAG
rnacentral:rRNA from 1 species